CCUACGGGAGGUAGCAGUGAGGAAUAUUGGUCAAUGGGCGUAAGCCUGAACCAGCCAAGUCGCGUGAGGGAUGAAGGUUCUAUGGAUCGUAAACCUCUUUUAUCAGGGAAUAAAGUGUGGGACGUGUCCUAUUUUGUAUGUACCUUAUGAAUAAGGAUCGGCUAACUCCGUGCCAGCAGCCGCGGUAAUACGGAGGAUUCAAGCGUUAUCCGGAUUUAUUGGGUUUAAAGGGUGCGUAGGCGGCCUUUUAAGUCAGCGGUGAAAGUCUGUGGCUCAACCAUAGAAUGGCCGUUGAAACUGGGGGGCUUGAGUAUGUUUGAGGCAGGCGGAAUGCGUGGUGUAGCGGUGAAAUGCUUAGAUAUCACGCAGAACCCCGAUUGCGAAGGCAGCCUGCCAAGCCAUGACUGACGCUGAUGCACGAAAGCGUGGGGAUCAAACAGGAUUAGAUACCCUUGUAGUC
rnacentral:rRNA from 1 species